GACGAACGCUGGCGGCGUGCUUAACACAUGCAAGUCGAACGGAAAGGCCCUGCUUUUGUGGGGUGCUCGAGUGGCGAACGGGUGAGUAACACGUGAGUAACCUGCCCUUGACUUUGGGAUAACUUCAGGAAACUGGGGCUAAUACCGGAUAGGAGCUCCUGCUGCAUGGGGGGGGUUGGAAAGUUUCGGCGGUUGGGGAUGGACGCGCGGCUUAUCAGCUUGUUGGUGGGGUAGUGGCUUACCACGGCUUUGACGGGUAGCCGGCCUGAGAGGGUGACCGGCCACAUUGGGACUGCGAUACGGCCCAGUCUCCUACGGGACGCAGCAGUGGGGAAUAUUGCACAAUGGGCGCACGCCUGAUGCAGCGACGCCGCGUGCGGGAUGACGGCCUUCGGGUUGUAAACCGCUUUCGCCUGUGACGAAGCGUGAGUGACGGUAAUGGGUAAAGAAGCACCGGCUAACUACGUG
rnacentral:rRNA from 1 species